UUGGUGUGGAAGCUCCCUUAGUCCAGUGGUUGACGAAAGGUUGUUUAAAGCUUCUACACCAAAAAGAGCCGUGAUUCUACGCAUGGAGAAGGAGGUGUCGUCAGGAAAUGGUGUAAUCUGUGGUGAAUCUAAAAGGGUCGGACAGAAUUGUCGGUAGUAAAAUCGUCAUUGUAACAAUUCUCAUAAUUUGCAAUAAAUAAUAAAUCAAGAGUUAAAAAAAAAAUCUGUCUAUAUUGGAAGUAUAUG